rnacentral:rRNA from 1 species
GACGAACGCUGGCGGCGUGCCUAAUACAUGCAAGUAGGACGCAGUUGCGAACGGGUGAGUAACGCGUAGGUAACUACCUAUUAGAGGGGGAUAACUAUUGGAAACGAUCGCUAAUACCGCAUACUAGUAGAUGGACCUGCGUUGUAUUAGCUAGUAGGUAGGGUAAUGGCCUACCUAGGCAACGAUGCAUAGCCGACUCGAGAGGGUGGUCGGCAAAACUGUGACUGAGACACGGCCCAGACUCCUACGGGAGGUAGAAGUAGGGAAUCUUCGGCAAGGGGGUGAACCCUGACCGUGCAACGCCGCGUGAGUGAAGAAGGUUUUCGGAUCGUAAAGCUCUGUUGUUAAGGAAGCGGUACUUAACCAGAAAGGGACGGCUAACUACGUGCCAGCAGCCGCGGUAAUUC